rnacentral:rRNA from 1 species
AUGUCUGACGCUCGCCGAGCCCGCGCCGAGCGUCGGGCUGCUCUUGCGGCCCAUGUCACCCAGACGGCCCUCGUCGGCGGGCUUCCCCGUCGUUCCCCAUCGCCUGCUGCCCACGCUGCCAUCGGCCCGGCGGGGAACGAGCAGCAGGUGUCGUUGCUGCAUCCCUCGCUGCGGCGAAAGGGCCGCACCGCUACCCCGUCACUGACUCCAGCAGGCUCGUCAUCGCACGCUCGUCGCGCUCCCGUGGAAGUGCACGCCGCGCUGCUCCUGGCACGCGAGCUCCUGCACUACCGCCCCGUCGACGACCUCUACGACGAGUGGCUUGCUCGCAUCACCGAGCUCGUCAGCGCCGCAGGGGGCUCCCCCGCACCGUCCCUCUCGCUGCAUCGCCCUCCGUCCUAUGCAGGCAACGCUGCCCCGGAGGCGCAUCCGCCACCUCCUCCUCAAGAAGGUGCCCUGGCCCCAAGGCGCGCGGCCCCUGGACGAGACCCGCCGCGUCCAGCGCCCGCGCAGCAAGAAAAGAGCUGCCAAGAGAUCCCUCGCCCUCAAGAAGGCGCUCACAUGCUCCCUGCGCCAGCAUGUCAUGACCGCGCUCCUACACCAGCGUGCCAAGACCCCGCACUACUCCUGGCGGCAGUGUGCGGAGGCCUCCAAGACCAACCCCUUCGUCACCUAAGGCGCCCUGUGGCCACUGCAGGCUGCCGCGCCUUCACUGCUGAGUUGCGUAGCGUGGCCUGGCCGGGAAAAUUCAAGCCAGAUCUGCCUCCUCGCUACGACGGCACUACCGACCCCGUGGAGUUCCUCCAGAUCUAUGAGCUGGGCAUCGAGGCGGACAACGGGGACGAAAAAGUCAUGGCGAACUGGUUUCCCAUGGCGCUCAAGGAUGGGUCCCGCACUUGGCUCCUCAACCUUCCACCCAGCACGAUCUCCUCUUGGGACGAGAUGCGCACUCACUUCAUCGCCAACUUCCAGGGCACUCGUGACCGGCCCCCGGCCAUGAGUGACUUGCGCCGCAUCAAGCAACAGCCAGGAGAGACCCUGCAAAAGUACAUCCAUCGCUUCAACAACACCCGCCUCAAGAUUCCCAGGGUGACUGAGGAAGCCAUCAUCUCAGCCUUCUCCGAUGGCGUUUGUGACAUCAAGAUAAAGGAAGAGCUAGCGAUCCAUGAGGAUUUGUGCACCUCUCUGGAGUUGUUCAACUUGGCGACCAAGUGCGUCAGGGCUGAGGAAGGGCGCCUCUCCCUCCUCGAGCUUCCAACUGCUGAUCCGGAAGAGAAGAAGCCCAAGGUCGAGGACGUAAAGCGCAAAGGAGCAGUUGUGCUUGCAGCUGAGCCAGAUACCAAGCAAGGCAGGGAUCAGCCGGAGUCAUCCAAAGCUCCCGAGGCCCCCUCGGCGGUAUCUCAAAGGCGAAGGAGGCAGGAAGGCGGAUCCGGGAGCUCGGAGGCAUGGCGGCGUGAAGCACGAGCUCGCGGGAGGAGUUUGCAGCGUGGACUCCAGGGGGGACGACGCGUGUCGCCGUGA